AAACGAAUCUGAAGUGCAUUUAGGGGAGAAGAGAAACGAACUUUACCGAAACUCUUACGGUAACCUUCCGAUCCCCGUAACUUCUCCAUUCGAGCUCCAAUUGCCACACCGUUUGUGGCCACGCGUUUACCGCAUCGAGCUCUACGUUUCUACUGGAACAAUUUUAUAGGAUCCAAUUAGCUUGAGGAAAAUGUUCACUCUUGCUUAUGUGAAGCUUGGGUAAGGUUGUGAAUAAAUAAUUGGAGCUUGAAAUUGUGAAUAUUGGAACUUGGAGGAAGCUGAUUAGUUGAAUUUUGAGGGGCUGCCUUGAUUUUAAAUAAAUUUCUUUGGUCGUUAUGUGAAAAUCGGCCAAGGUAUGGUUUAGGUUUCUUACAUUUAAUAUAUAAUGUUCUGUGAAAACUUAGGCUAGAUGAUAAACCGCUAUUUUAUGAUUCAUAUUGUGUUUAAUUGUGUGGUUUUAUCAAGUCUUUGCCCACUUAUUCAUAUGAUUUGCAUGUAUUUACAAUUCCUUCCUAAAAAUAUUUUAUGAUUGAAAACUUGCUUCCUAAAGACCUUUUAGUUGUGUAUUUUUAUUUUUCUUCGUACCAUUCGAUACCGUGAUCUGUGUGUUGAGUGUUUCAGGCUUCAUAGGACAGGAAUGGCAUAAGGAAUGAAGAAGAAGCGUGCAAAAGUGGAAGGAACACAAGGAACUAAGGAGAUGACCAGUGAGAAGUCACGCGGGCGCAUGGCUCACGCGACCGCGCGAAAUGGAAGAAAUCACAGUGACGCGCUCGCGUGCCUAACGCGACCGCGUGGAUUGAAAGCUGCACGAACGACGCGAGUGCGUGAACGACGCGCACGCGUGGUACGAAAAACGCUGAGUGACGCGAACGCGUGGACGACGCAGAUUAGAGCCAGGGAACAUGCAGAGACGAAGGCAACAGUUCAUUCCGCAUAAUUUUGAGUUUUUAGAUCUGAUUUUACUCCUCCCCUAGGUUUUUCUUUCUACAUUCAUAAUUGAGGAUUUGAAGAUUUUUGGCUUUGGCUUUUGAGAAGAGUCUACCUCCGGAACUGGUCAUUAUAGUUUGUUAUUUACUUUUCAUUUACUCUUCCAUAUUCUUAAUUUGUCCAGAGUUGAUAUUGGAUUAUUUUCAUAGUUUAUUAUUACAAAACUAUUUUUACUUUUAAUUAA